rnacentral:rRNA from 1 species
CUACGGAGGGUGCAAGCGUUGUCCGGAUUUAUUGGGUUUAAAGGGUGUGUAGGCGGUGUAUUAAGUCAGUGGUGAAAGCCUGCGGCUCAACCGUAGAACUGCCAUUGAUACUGACACACUUGAGUAUGGACGAGGUAGGCGGAAUUUAUGGUGUAGCGGUGAAAUGCAUAGAUACCAUAAAGAACACCGAUAGCGAAGGCAGCUUACUAGGCCAUAACUGACGCUGAGGCACGAAAGCGUGGGGAGCGAACAGGAUUAGAAACCCCAGUAGUCC